rnacentral:misc_RNA from 1 species
AGUGCCUGGAGUGAAAGAGCCGUUCAAACGUUAUCUAAUCGUAAUGUCGAUAGCGCUUAGUUAUACAUAAACCUGAAAAAAAUUGUUUAAUGUAAAAUGUCUUAUUGAUGAAACCGCCAUGAAUAUAUAGGUUAGUUGUGCCCAAAAAUGUGUUUUAUAGCUUACUAAGUGUGUCAGUUUGCGAUUUAAGCCUAAACAAAUCCCUUUCUGUCACGAAAUAACGCUUAAUCUUUGGUGACGUCAUAUAUAUGACGUUACACGGACAAUAUGGAGAGAAUUUCAGAAUCUGGGAAGUGUUUGGUUAUAGCUUUGAUGAUUAUUUUAAAAACAAGUUUUGUAAUCGAAACAGCUGUUACUCCACGAAUCCAGCCGUUCAACUUCCCUAAGACAGUGACAUUUGAUACACAGGUUAGUGUGACUUGUGCUGUUUCAGAGGGGUCCUUACCCGUCAUAUUCUCGUGGAAGAGAAACGGACAAACACUUAUAGCUUAUGAUGAAAAGAUACAUUUUCGCACCCACGAGGAUCUAAGCACUUUGAAAAUCCAAGAUUUAGAUGUAAGUGACAUUGGAAACUACACGUGCAUAGCGAAAAACUCCGGAGGAGUAGACAGUUACACUUCUCAGCUGUUAGUGAAAGCUCCUCCAUAUUGGAAAAGUCAGCCAGUCAAUGUCAACGCCAUUUUAGGAAAACAAGCAUUCUUGCAUUGUGACGUUGGUGGUUAUCCUCGUCCUCAUAUAGCAUGGAAGAAAUUUAAUGACUUCCGCACCGAAGACGUUGUCCUUCAAAGCGAUUACAGAACGAAGAUUUUGGACAAUGGUUCUUUAGCGAUUAAUUCGGUGGAAAAGGCAGACGAAGGGCUUUACACCUGUGACGCUGAGAACGGUAUCGGUGAAGGGAUUACAGCCUCUAUUCGACUUGAAUUACAUGUCCCUCCUAAUAUAAUAGUAUUAGAAGCAUCGAAAUCUAUCAGGAAAGGUGAAAGCGCUCUGUUACAAUGUGCUGUGAGCGGGGAGCGCCCUCUGACGAUAUCCUGGAUAAAAAACGGAAAUAGCAUUGAUAAAAGUUUUCCCAGGUACGAUAAGUUUGAGGAAGAAGUAGCUGAUGGCCUACAAGCAAAUCUCGUUAUCAAUGACAGUGAACGAGAAGAUGAAGGGCGCUUCGUGUGUAAGGUUGAAAAUAAUUAUGGUGAAGCACAGGGCACAAUUCAGCUUCAAAUAAACGAACCUCCAUCAAGUCCAUUGGAUGUCAGAUUUGUGAAUAUAGGCAGCAGAUCAGCCAGAGUUGUGUGGAGAGCGCCACCUAGUGUCAAUCCACCAAUAGUAUUAUAUAUUAUUAGAUAUUGGAAAAAAUCAGGCGCACUUCAAGAAAUCUCCGUGUCCAACACCGAAACAACAACUCUGCUCAACGAUCUUCAUGCAGGCUUUGAAUAUAUUGUUCAGAUUUUAGCAAAGAAUGAUGUCGGCGUUGGUCAACCCUCUGAAAUGGCUACCUUCACUACGAAAGAGGAAGAACCAGACAUGUCACCAACUGAUCUCUUGGUAGAACCUGUCGAUUCUCAUAGUUUACAGAUAUCUUGGAAGCCACCACCACCAGAGAAUCACAAUGGGCUGUUGAAAGGAUACCAUAUAGGGUACAAAAAGAAAGGCACCACAUCAUCGUUUAUGUAUGAAACUAUCCCCACAACAAACAAUAAACUACAACACAUGGUGCUUAAAAAUCUUCAGCCUUCUACGAGCUAUACAGUAAUAGUGAAAGCCUUCAACAGUGCUGGGACUGGCCCACCUUCAGAUGAGUUUGUGUGUCUAACUUUACUAGGAGAUCCUCCACCUCCACCAGAACUUAAACUCCAGGAUGUACAAUGGAAUUCUGCUACUGUCACCUGGUCACAUCCAAGAGAUAUGAAAGGACCUGUAUUUCAGUACCUGUUGGAAUAUGGAAUUUCUGCUAACAGACAACAAAAACUUCACAUUCCGGGAUCAGUUCAAGAAUAUACCAUCCAAGAUCUUAACAGUGGUCAACAUUACACCAUUCAUAUAGCUGCUUACAACAAGUUUGGAUGUGGUAAAUUCUCUUCUCCCUUACUGGUAGUCAUUGAAAGGAAAAAAGGAUCUGAUCUCAGAACAUCAGCAACCCCUGAUGCAAUGUCUUUUUACUUUGAGCUGUAUUUUGUUAUACCAGUAGCAGCCUCAGUUACGGUCGUCAUCUGUGUUGUAGUGAUUGCUUGGGCUUGCCUUAAAAGAACACGGUUUGUUCAAGUGAAAAAAUCCUCGCUGUAUGUUGCUUACAAACAACGUGCAUCAUGUGCUUCAGUAUCGGGAGUUUCAGCAUCACGUAACAGCAGAGUAUAUGAUGUAGCAUGGGAAAUACCCAGUGGAACAGUGCCUCAGAAUGGGCCUCACUACACAAAGCUGAAACCUCCUUACGUCCUUUCAUAACUGAGAACAGUGAUGGAUCAGGAUUUAGUUCAGGAAACAAUAAGAAAACAGUUUUAUAGUUAUUUACAAAAACAAUCUUAAUGUAAAAGUGUUUUUAUAUAACAAGUGCAGCUCUGAAGAGGAUUCUGCUCAGUAAUGUGUGGUAUAAUAGAAAGUAGUUUUCUCGUCAGCCUCAUGACUCUUAAGAAAUGUUUUUAAUGUACACACAUUGGUCUAAAAGAUGAAAAAAGUUUUUGUGUACUUAUUUAUAAAAAACUCCUGUAUUAAGACAACUUACUAACAAAUUCAUCACUAGAGUAGCUUUUGUUACUAGCUUGUCAAAUUCGAAAGUUCGUGCUUUGAUUGCUAAGUAACAAAACAAGUUGCAGGUUAUAGUCCUUUUGGUUUCAGGUGAUGAUGUUGGAUUCCGUUCUCAACAGGUUGGAUGAGACAUCCAUAGUAUAAAUCUCCUUUUCCAAGCAGUGAUUUGGAUUAAGUUUGUAGAUGAGUAGUAUGAUAGAUCCAUUGUAGGAGACUCCUGUCCAGGUGUUGAUGACGUUGUCAGGUCACAGAUGGGUUGGUUGAGAAAUCUAUAGCAUAAAAAAGUACAUAAAAGUGGUGAUGAUGUUUUAAGGUCACAGGAAAAUUAGGUGAGAGAUCCAUAGUACAAAAAUACCCUUUCAUAGUGAUGAUGAUGUUUUCAGGUCACAGAUGGAUUAGGUGAGAGAUCCAUAGUACAAAAAACUGUCAAAAUGCUGAUGUUUUUUUAGGUCACAGAUGGUUUUGGGUGAGAGAUCCAUAAUUUAGAAACCCCUGUCAAUUUGAUGAUGAUGUUCUCAAGUUACAGAUGGUUUGAGCAAGAGAUCCAUAGUAUAAAAACCCCUGUCCAAAUGGUGAUGAUGUUCUCAAGUUACAGAUGGUUUGGGGCGAGAGAUCCAUAGUAUAAAAACCCCUGUCAGUGUGAUGAUGAUGUUCUCAAGUUACAGAUGGUUUGGGUGAGAGAUCCAUAGUAUAAAACCCUGUCAAAGUGAUGAUAAUUUUCUCAGAUUACAGAUGGUUUUGGUGAGAGUUCAAUAAUAUAAAAAAAACCUAUCAAAGUGAUGAUGAUGUUUUCAGGUCACAGAUUGAUUAAGUGAGCG